UUGGAGAGAGAAGGUGGCAGGAUGUUUGCACUUCUGGAAGAAAAUUGUUCAUUGAGAACAAGUCUAAGACAUGGAAGAUACAUUCUUUCAAAAUAAUAUAAUACUCUCGAUUCCUGAUAAUGGCUACUCUCAGUGCCUGAAGACUAGUGAUUUCAAAGGGGCCUCUCAGCCAGGAUGUAUAUCUAAUCAGGACUCCUACGAGUUACACAGGUAACCUCGGAUUUCUAAAAACAACCAACUCUAAGACGCAAGCAGGAGAGGGGAUGAUGUUCCUGCCUACCUGGGACACUCUGAGAGGUGGCCUUGCCUGGGCCCCUUUGGAAAACUGUCGCUGCAUGUGGAGGCAAGGAGGGUGCGUCUAAGGUGGUGGAACCACCUCCCUAGUGGGAAGAGAAGAAGUCCAAGUAUGACGGUGUCCGAGGACCCGAGUCUUGUCAUCUUUUCUUCAUUAUGUGCGUGUGUGUUGGGGGCAGGGCUCCGAUUAUCGGUUGCUGGCAGUUGCCCCUCGUUGUACUCAAAACUCUUCUGAUUUAUCAGAUUAGCAAAGGUAAUUGAAGUAAGAAUAGUUCCUUAAUUGAUUUGAGGUCAGUAUUUUGAACUCCACUAUGAAGACAGUGGGAUUUGGGUUCUGCAGGCCUGGGCAGCUCCCAUCUCUAACGUUGGACCCACAGUGUAGAACUUGUUGCCACUUUCCACCUUUCACUCGGCACGGCCAGCACUUAAGUUCGGGAGGGAGGCUGGUGGUAGAGGAGAGCGCAGCU